rnacentral:lncRNA from 1 species
CAAACUUUCUACUGAGAGCAGAUCCAGCCGCGGCUUCAUCUCUGUGGGGAGUUCUCCCAGGUCCUGAUGGAGGCACAGGGAAUUGAUCUAUUAGAUUAACCAGGAAGGAAGGAGCAGGAGAGCGAGCGAGGGAGGUGGUGGGGCUGAGCUUUUGCUGCGUGGCUGUCCCCUCCCUCUGACUGGAGUAUUAAUUGCCACAUUACCGCUGCCAUGCUCGCUCGGAAGACAGUCAGCAAAGCCUGCGAGGGCUCAGCUCCUCCCUCCCUGCUCUGCUCAAUUUCACUCUCCUCCCCGGUUCCGUGAGCGCUGGUGCCGGCAGUGCCGUCCCAGCCCUGCACCCCGAGGUCCUCCCGUGGUGAGGACUUGAGUGGACAGUGGCAGUGGGUGGAGAGAGGAGGAGGGUUCGCCCUGCAGGCUCUCUGGAUGCAGAAGCUGGACGUGCUGCAGAGGAGGCUGUACUCUUCCUGGAGCCUGGCUUCUGGGGUGCACCCAUCUCUCGGGGUUCACCUAGGCAGCCUCCGAGUUCCAGGGGCACUCGGGGAGGGUACUGUCCCUUCUGGGUGCUGACAGCAGAGCCUGCCUCCCCUCUGCCACCAUGAGCGGCUGUUCCAGAAGAUGCAAGCUCGGCUUCGUGAAAUUUGCCCAGACCAUCUUUAAGCUCAUCACCGGGACCCUCAGCAAAGGAAGAACGAGUCCUUUUGGGGGACGAGGCACCGGAAGCAGCAGGCAGAAUAUUCAGGGAAGGAGGCCCCUAAAACCUUGA